rnacentral:rRNA from 1 species
CAACCCNNGACAUCCUGUGCUACUACCAGAGAUGGUACGUUCCCUUCGGGGACGCAGUGACAGGUGCUGCAUGGCUGUCGUCAGCUCGUGUCGUGAGAUGUUCGGUUAAGUCCGGCAACGAGCGCAACCCACAUCUUUAGUUGCCAGCAGGUUAAGCUGGGCACUCUAGAGAAACUGCCCGUGAUAAGCGGGAGGAAGGUGUGGAUGACGUCAAGUCCUCAUGGCCCUUACGGGUUGGGCUACACACGUGCUACAAUGGCAGUGACAAUGGGUUAAUCCCCAAAAGCUGUCUCAGUUCGGAUUGGGGUCUGCAACUCGACCCCAUGAAGUCGGAAUCGCUAGUAAUCGCGUAACAGCAUGACGCGGUGAAUACGUUCCCGGGCCUUGUACACACCGCCCGUCACACCAUGGGAGUUGGUUCUACCCGACGACGCUGCGCUAACCCUNNGGNG